GCCUAACACAUGCAAGUCGAACGGUAACAGGAAACAGCUUGCUGUUUCGCUGACGAGUGGCGGACGGGUGAGUAAUGUCUGGGAAACUGCCUGAUGGAGGGGGAUAACUACUGGAAACGGUAGCUAAUACCGCAUAACGUCGCAAGACCAAAGAGGGGGACCUUCGGGCCUCUUGCCAUCGGAUGUGCCCAGAUGGGAUUAGCUAGUAGGUGGGGUAACGGCUCACCUAGGCGACGAUCCCUAGCUGGUCUGAGAGGAUGACCAGCCACACUGGAACUGAGACACGGUCCAGACUCCUACGGGAGGCAGCAGUGGGGAAUAUUGCACAAUGGGCGCAAGCCUGAUGCAGCCAUGCCGCGUGUAUGAAGAAGGCCUUCGGGUUGUAAAGUACUUUCAGCGGGGAGGAAGGGAGUAAAGUUAAUACCUUUGCUCAUUGACGUUACCCGCAGAAGAAGCACCGGCUAACUCCGUGCCAGCAGCCGCGGUAAUACGGAGGGUGCAAGCGUUAAUCGGAAUUACUGGGCGUAAAGCGCACGCAGGCGGUUUGUUAAGUCAGAUGUGAAAUCCCCGGGCUCAACCUGGGAACUGCAUCUGAUACUGGCAAGCUUGAGUCUCGUAGAGGGGGGUAGAAUUCCAGGUGUAGCGGUGAAAUGCGUAGAGAUCUGGAGGAAUACCGGUGGCGAAGGCGGCCCCCUGGACGAAGACUGACGCUCAG
rnacentral:rRNA from 1 species